CCUACGGGAGGCUGCAGUGGGGAAUAUUGGACAAUGGGCGAAAGCCUGAUCCAGCCAUGCCGCGUGUGUGAAGAAGGCCUUCGGGUUGUAAAGCACUUUCAGUGGGGAAGAAAGCCUUGGGGCUAAUACCCUCGAGGAAGGACAUCACCCACAGAAGAAGCACCGGCUAACUCCGUGCCAGCAGCCGCGGUAAUACGGAGGGUGCGAGCGUUAAUCGGAAUUACUGGGCGUAAAGCGCGCGUAGGCGGUCGAUAAGCCGGUUGGGAAAGCCCCGGGCUCAACCUGGGAACGGCAUCCGGAACUGUCAGGCUAGAGUGCAGGAGAGGAAGGUAGAAUUCCCGGUGUAGCGGUGAAAUGCGUAGAGAUCGGGAGGAAUACCAGUGGCGAAGGCGGCCUUCUGGACUGACACUGACGCUGAGGUGCGAAAGCGUGGGUAGCAAACAGGAUUAGAUACCCCAGUAGUC
rnacentral:rRNA from 1 species